rfam:Dipodomys ordii contig_35063, whole genome shotgun sequence.
GGGAAUGUGGCUUAGUGGUAGAGUGCUUGCCUGGCACGCAUGAAACCCUGGGCUCGAUUCCUCAGUACCA